rnacentral:rRNA from 1 species
AGAGUUUGAUCCUGGCUCAGAUUGAACGCUGGCGGCAUGCUUUACACAUGCAAGUCGAACGGCAGCACGGGGGCAACCCUGGUGGCGAGUGGCGAACGGGUGAGUAACACAUCGGAACGUGUCCUCUUGUGGGGGAUAACCUGGCGAAAGCCAGGCUAAUACCGCAUAAGCUCGUGAGAGGAAAGCGGGGGACCUGAAAGGGCCUCGCGCGGGAGGAGCGGCCGAUGUCCGAUUAGCUAGUUGGUGGGGUAAAGGCCCACCAAGGCGACGAUCGGUAGCUGGUCUGAGAGGAUGAUCAGCCACACUGGGACUGAGACACGGCCCAGACUCCUACGGGAGGCAGCAGUGGGGAAUUUUGGACAAUGGGGGCAACCCUGAUCCAGCCAUGCCGCGUGAGUGAAGAAGGCCUUCGGGUUGUAAAGCUCUUUCGGUGGGAACGAAACGGGCACGGUUAAUACCCGUGUUCAAUGACGGUACUCACAGAAGAAGCACCGGCUAACUACGUGCCAGCAGCCGCGGUAAUACGUAGGGUGCGAGCGUUAAUCGGAAUUACUGGGCGUAAAGCGUGCGUAGGCGGUUGCAUAAGCUUGAUGUGAAAGCCCCGGGCUUAACCUGGGAAUGGCAUUGAGGACUGUGCGGCUUGAGUGCGGCAGAGGGAGGUGGAAUUCCAGGUGUAGCAGUGAAAUGCGUAGAGAUCUGGAGGAACACCGAUGGCGAAGGCAGCCUCCUGGGCCGACACUGACGCUGAGGGCACGAAAGCGUGGGGAGCAAACAGGAUUAGAUACCCUGGUAGUCCACGCCCUAAACGAUGUCAACUGGUUGUUGGGGAAGGCAACUUCCUUAGUAACGAAGCUAACGCGUGAAGUUGACCGCCUGGGGAGUACGGCCGCAAGGUUAAAACUCAAA